rnacentral:ncRNA from 1 species
CGCGGUUCCGCGGAGGUUGGAUCCCGUCCCGUCGGGGCGGGCGCACUACCGGCCGAUCUUCUCCGCCCUGUCGGCGAGGUCGAGCGAGAGCGUGCAAGUCGGGACCCGAAAGAUGGUGAACUAUGCCUGAGGAGGUUGAAGCCAGAGGAAACUCUGGUGGAGGACCGUAGCGAUUCUGACGUGCAAAUCGAUCGUCAAAUUUGGGUAUAGGGGCGAAAGACUAAUCGAACCGUCUAGUAGCUGGUUCCCUUCGAAGUUUCCCUCAGGAUAGCUGGCGCUCUGUCGCAGUUUUAUCUGGUAAAGCGAAUGAUUAGAGGUCUUGGGGGCGAAACGCCCUCAACCUAUUCUCAAACUUUAAAUUGGUAAGAAGCCCGACUCGCUCGUUUGGAGCCGGGCAUGGAAUGCGAGUGCCAAGUGGGCCACUCUUGGUAAGCAGGACUGGCGAUGCGGGAUGAACCGAACGCCGGGUUAAGGCGCCCGACGCGACGCUCAUCAGAGCCCACAAAAGGUGUUGGUUGAUAUAGACAGCAGGACGGUGGCCAUGGAAGUCGGAAACCGCUAAGGAGUGUGUAACAACUCACCUGCCGAAUCAAUCAGCCCUGAAAAUGGAUGGCGCUGGAGCGUCGGGCCUAUACCCGGCCGUCGCGGCGGUACGAGCAUCGAGUUGGUGCGCUAGGCCGCGACGAGUAGGAGGGCCGCGGCGGCGGGCGUAGAAG